rnacentral:lncRNA from 1 species
CUUUGCCAGUGUUCCUGAAGGAGAUGCAGGGCACUGAGCGUGCCCUGUAGGCGGGCUGGAGAAGCACUGGGCUCCCUGUUGGUGUGCAGGUGUGGGUCAGUGGCUCCACGUGGUGUAUCCCUCUGCCUGCUCAAUGGGUGCAACGGAGGUCCUGGGUCCCAGUGUGAGGCAUGAUACAAAGAUGCAAGGCCCAGCAGAAGACAACUCAGGUUUGUUAUGAAUUGAGGAUAAAUAUCACUGAUAAAAUGGAGGUCAACAACUUAGCAGCAUCUUGUGGAAAAGGUUUGGAGGUGAGUGAAAUUAAAUGGUUACCUGAAUCAGGCAUUAUUCCAAUGGGAGACUGGAAGGUGUAGCCAGGAUUUUCUGAAGUGGAAGCAUUCAAAAUAUUGGGAACAAACACAGAAACUGUGGGGUCUGUGACAACUCGUGCGGAAUCUAAACUGAUACUGGGACCACAGUGUGCAAUAUCAUGCUCUGGGCCUGAAAGCUUUUGGCUCUAGUCUCUGAUGUACCAGGGAGAUCAACUGAUUAAAGUGCCAAAGGAUUUUCUUUCUAUUCAGUGGAUUUGAAAUACUUAAAGCUAAGCUGAACUCCAGAUCCUGCUA